rnacentral:rRNA from 1 species
UGGGGAAUAUUGCACAAUGGGGGAAACCCUGAUGCAGCGACGCCGCGUGCGGGAUGAAGGCCUUCGGGUUGUAAACCGCUUUCAGCAGGGGCGAAUUCAGACGGUACCUGCAGAAGAAGCGCCGGCUAACUACGUGCCAGCAGCCGCGGUAAUACGUAGGGCGCAAGCGUUGUCCGGAAUUAUUGGGCGUAAAGAGCUCGUAGGCGGCCUGUUGCGUCCGCUGUGAAAUCCCAGGGCUUAACCCUGGGCCUGCAGUGGAUACGGGCAGGCUAGAGGCAGGCAGGGGAGAACGGAAUUCCCGGUGUAGCGGUGAAAUGCGCAGAUAUCGGGAGGAACACCGGUGGCGAAGGCGGUUCUCUGGGCCUGUUCUGACGCUGAGGAGCGAAAGCGUGGGUAGCAAACAGGAUUAGAUACCCCCGUAGUCC